UGUCACUUACAGAUGGACCCGCGGGCGCAUUAGCUANUUGGUGAGGUAACGGCUCACCAAGGCAACGAUGCGUAGCCGACCUGAGAGGGUGAUCGGCCNCACUGGGACUGAGACACGGCCCAGACUCCUACGGGAGGCAGCAGUAGGGAAUUUCCGCAAUGGACGAAAGUCUGACGGAGCAACCCCGCGUGAGUGAUGAAGGUUUUCGGAUCGUNAAAGCUCUGUUGUUAGGGAAGAACAAGUGCAAGAGUAACUGCUUGCACCUUGACGGUACCUAACCAGAAAGCCACGGCUAACUACGUGCCAGCAGCCGCGGUAAUACGUAGGUGGCAAGCGUUGUCCGGAAUUAUUGGGCGUAAAGGGCUCGCAGGCGGUUUCUUAAGUCUGAUGUGAAAGCCCCCGGCUCAACCGGGGAGGGUCAUUGGAAACUGGGAAACUUGAGUGCAG
rnacentral:rRNA from 1 species